CAAUAGCGUAUAUUAAAGUUGUUGCGGUUAAAAAGCUCGUAGUUGGAUUUCUGCCGAGGACGACCGGUCCGCCCUCUGGGUGAGUAUCUGGUUCGACCUGGGCAUCCUCUUGGAGAACGUGGCUGCACUUGAUUGUGUGGUGCGGUAUCCAGGACUUUUACUUUGAGGAAAUUAGAGUGUUUCAAGCAGGCACACGCCUUGAAUACAUUAGCAUGGAAUAAUAGAAUAGGACUUCGGUACUAUUUUGUUGGUUUCUAGGACCGAAGUAAUGAUUAAUAGGGACAGUUGGGGGCAUUCAUAUUCCAUUGUCAGAGGUGAAAUUCUUGGAUUAACGGAAGAUGAACUACUGCGAAAGCAUCUGCCAAGGAUGUUUUCAUUGAUCAAGAACGAAAGUUAGGGGAUCGAAGACGAUUAGAUACCAU
rnacentral:rRNA from 1 species